rnacentral:piRNA from 1 species
AUGUUUGGAAUUAAUCAGAG